ensembl:lncRNA
UCUCUCUCUCUCACAGACACAUGGACGUGAGAGAGAGCACACUGUCACUUUUGCAGAAUGACAGUCUCUCUAAACAUAUUCUCCUUUCAUGGUGUUUGCACAAACUCCUCUCAUCACCCUUCCUUCUUCUCAGCUUCCUCUGACGAGCCCCUUGCACACCCCCACCUCAGGGAGCUGGAGGGAGGCUUCUGCGAGAAGCUCUUCUCUCCAUCUGCUCAUCCUCGUCAUGCUUCAUAAAGCCACCCCCUUCUGAUCUCCACACCCCCUGCUCCCCCAGCACACAUGGAGAGAUGAUGAGUGAUCUGCUCUCCGGAUGCUUUAGCGAGACAAUGCUGCACCACAAUGUUCAACAUCAUCAAUCUCUCCAGACAUCCAUCACCCAAACAAUAAAGCGAAUGGACAGAGGCCAUUCUCUUAAUUGGAAGCACUACCGUGAGGGGAAGAACGGACCCAAAUCCAGUUUAGAAACGGAGGCCUCACCAGUGUUUGCCCAGCGUGACCAAGCCCAUGACUGUCACUUCUGUAAACAAAUGUAGCCUCUGUUUAUUCAAGUUCAUCCUUUUCGGUUUGGGACUGAUGUGCUGUAGAACUCUUUAGAAGCAACUGCUGGUGGAAUUCCAAAGACAAGAGCUGUGUUGUAUUCAAAAGAAGGAUGGGCCAAAGAAACACCUUCCAAACAUAUUUGUAAACUAUUCUCAAAACAAACCAGCACUGCAACAUUAUCACGUUAUUAUUCUUUGCUGAAUAUAAGCGGUUGCUGCUCAUAAGGUAUGUGCUUUACUAGAAACACCUUUAUACACUGGAAACUUCAGUAAAACCAUCUUAUAGUCUGUGUCACCCCAUUCAGUCAGUCAGCAUCUUUUCAUCACUGAUGAGUAUUAUUGGCUCCCUGUUGCUGAAUGGCAACAGCAGUUACACUCCUGUGUCUGAUACAUUUACAGCAUUUAGCUGAUGCACUUAUUCAGAGAUACUUACAAUUCUGACUGAACACACCUUGAGCAAUUGAGAGCUAAGGGACUUGCUCAGGGGCCCAACAGUGGGGGGGCUUGAACUGGCAACCUUCUCAAGUACCUUAACCACUGAGACACCACAGGUAACACACUUGUGCAUGGAAAUACAGGGGCUAUAGUCUCUACAACCACAUUGUGAUCUAAAUAAUAAAAGUUUAUAAUAAAGUGGGUGCU